AUCACGAGCAACGUGACAGCGAGGGCCGCACCACCGGCGAGGUAGCGACCCGUACGUCGUCGCUCCUCCUGCAAUGCGGAAGAUAUUUGAAGAGCUUUACCCUUGUGUCGAGGAUUUUAUAUAGCCGCAUGCACAAGAGGACGAGCGAGAAUUUGGUUGAUUAUUUUCUAUUCAAUUACAUCUUCCAUCACUGAAUUGGAAGAUCGUGGGAACGUCACACGUUUCCGUGUGACAGCAGCAGAUGAGGAGAUAUUUACGUCGAUGGAAUGUGGGGGAGUUCUGAUGGAUUCACUUAAUUUAGGAUAAGGAUCGGUAUUUUUGGCGAUCAUAUUACGACUGCUACAUGACAUCGUAUAAUAUAUUCUCUAGGGAACUAUUUCAUUGUUCUCAUUGCCUCAUUUUUUGGAAUAAAAAAUAUACAUAACUCAGUUUUUAUGUACUCUUUAUUUCUCUAUUUAAAAUAUUUAAUUGAGCAUUCAUUUUAGAGUAAUCAAAUCAUCCAACUAUAGGAUAUGUGUACACGCGAAGUUCAAUUAUGUUAAGUAAAUCGUCGAUUCAUUUUUAAUGAAGCAGACGAAAAUCAAAUUUACUUUUCUGAAUGAUAAUUAUCUCUCCAGUUGUUGAGAUUCACAACAAAGAACUAUCAAUUUUUUAUUUUUAAAAUUUAAAUUUUGCACAUCUCUUCAAACGGACAUUCGUCAUCGUUAUCCGGAUAUUUAUCUUUCAUCGUUGUUAAUGGACAGGGAACAUUCUCGGGACACCCAGGGAGAUUGAUUAUUCGUUCUUGAUGCAUCACUAGAAUACCUUUCCCAGUUGAUUUGCAGCUG